rnacentral:rRNA from 1 species
CGGACGGGUGAGUAACACGUGGAUAACCUACCUAUAAGACUGGGAUAACUUCGGGAAACCGGAGCUAAUACCGGAUAAUAUAUUGAACCGCAUGGUUCAAUAGUGAAAGACGGUUUUGCUGUCACUUAUAGAUGGAUCCGCGCCGCAUUAGCUAGUUGGUAAGGUAACGGCUUACCAAGGCAACGAUGCGUAGCCGACCUGAGAGGGUGAUCGGCCACACUGGAACUGAGACACGGUCCAGACUCCUACGGGAGGCAGCAGAC